AAAAUAUGAAUGUCCGAACUGAAACUACUCCUACCAGAAACUUCUGUGUUGCUCUGCAACCGCGUUGCUACGCUGCCGUGAAGCUGGUGCUGCUGGUGGAAAACAAGCUAAUGCAUGUUGAUGGACUGAAACAAGUUUGCAGAGUCACGCUGAUGAGAGGAUCUUGCAGCCAGGAAGCAGUGAUGGGCAAAGCAGCAGGAGGAGCAAAGUGCUGCUGGAUGGGAAAUGGACCCUAGAAGACAUGGGGGAAAUGAGGAUUACUGGAAAGGAAGGAACGUCGCACCUGAGGUACCUUCAGUAUCCUUCAGAAUCAGAGACUUCAUUCAAGCUUGUCAAGUCAAAGGAAAUCACAGUAAAUAAAGAAAUGUGUACCAG